CCUUCGUGCGUAAGCAGGAUCAUUGAUUUCUGCGGCGUUUCGGCGUCUUCGUCCACGUCCAGUGCUUAUUUUACCCUAAACCAGCUCGUUUACCCUCAGCUCGCUGAUUGCGAGUUGCAUUUUCAACGGAGCACACAAGUAGCAAGAUGUCACGCUACCGCGAAUGGGACCUCGCCUGCAAGGUGUACGUGGGCAACCUGGGCAGCAACGCGUCCAAGCACGAGCUCGAGUCAGCAUUCUCAAAAUACGGCCCCCUGAGGAAUGUUUGGGUGGCCCGCAACCCUGCCGGCUUCGCUUUUGUCGAAUUCGAGGACAACAGAGACGCCGAGGACGCGGUUAGAGGACUCGACGGAACACGAGUGUGCGGAACGCGCGUACGAGUUGAGAUGUCGACCGGCCGUAGCAGAAGGGGCGGAGGUGGCGGCGGCGGCGGAGGAGGAGGCGGCGGCGGAGGCGGUCGCAGAGGAGCCCCACGCUACAGUCGCUACUCCAGGGAUCAACUUCUACUACUACUAGUCAAACUAGCACAACUGCUACUGCUUCUUUGUACACAUUCACCUCUCACCACCACCACCACCAACCCCUUACCGCCUGUCAGCCUUCAAUCUUCAAAAAUCGCCACCGCCGCCGGACUGCAAUUCCUCCCGACAUGAAUUAAAGCCUAACCCACAGUCCGCGUGAACGGUGCCGGGCGAAACUGAACGAACUAAGCGAUUGCGAAAGGUCCCGUUUUCACAGUCAGGGUGGCCCGCCCGCCCAACCACCCGCCGGUCGUCCAAACUGGGGCUGCUCAACCAACCGCCCCACUGUCCUUUUUCUGCGCAACUUUAACGGACCUCAAACUCUCCUCAAAAAGAAAGCAACUACUUUUCAACUUGCUCGCUCGACCUCCUCACACGUUUGCCGAAACGGUCACGCUCGCCAAGGGAAAGACGCCACUCGCGCAGCAGGUCACGUUCCCGCUCCAGGAGCCGCCGCUCCCGCUCUGACUCGCCCCGGGAGCGUCGCUACGGCAAGGACGACUACUAAGCCGGAAGAACUGCCCCAUCCAUCAAAUCGUCUGUUGUCAAAAUUGCGUGUUGUGUUAUUAUUUGUGUAGAAGAUCGAACGUUACUCAUGGCUGCAAUGCUUUUCCAUCUAGGAGGAACGCUUUUCAAAACACAACCUCUCUCUUCUGAGUUCAUUAAUCGUUGGAAAAAUGCGUAAUUGUCAAGAACUAAAUCGAUAAAUAAAUAAUUUUACGUGUAUCAAAACGAGAAA